GUGCUCGGUUUGGCAGCACAUCUACUAAAAUUGGAGCAACACAGAAAAGAUUAGCAUGGCCCCUGCCCAAGGAUGACUGAAUAAGGCCCUGAUCUAUUAAUAU